rnacentral:rRNA from 1 species
GUUAUUUAGGUUAGAGUUUGAUCAUGGCUCAGAGUGAACGCUGGCGGCAGGCCUAACACAUGCAAGUCGAACGGCAGCACAGCAGUAGCAAUACUGUGGGUGGCGAGUGGCGGACGGGUGAGGAAUACAUGGGAAUCUACCCUGUCGUGGGGGAUAACGUAGGGAAACUUACGCUAAUACCGCAUACGACCGAGAGGUGAAAGCGGCGGACCGCAAGGCGUCGCGCGAUUGGAUGAGCCCAUGUCGGAUUAGAUAGUUGGCGGGGUAAAGGCCCACCAAGGCGACGAUCCGUAGCUGGUCUGAGAGGAUGAUCAGCCACACUGGAACUGAGACACGGUCCAGACUCCUACGGGAGGCAGCAGUGGGGAAUAUUGGACAAUGGGCGCAAGCCUGAUCCAGCCAUGCCGCGUGGGUGAAGAAGGCCUUCGGGUUGUAAAGCCCUUUUGUCCGGAAAGAAAAGCUUCGGGUUAAUACCCCGGGGUUCUGACGGUACCGGAAGAAUAAGCACCGGCUAACUUCGUGCCAGCAGCCGCGGUAAUCGCC